AAAGCUGUCCAUUAAGUGUUGGGAUUAUUAUUGACCAGUAUUGUAACUAUUUGGCUUAGCACCGACUCCAAACAUAUCAGUUGAUAAGAUAACGCAUAUACUUACCUAAAUAGGAUAAUAUGUUAUUAUAUCCUUUUUAGUCGUUUUUUUUUUUUUUUUAUAUUAUAAUUGUAAGCAGCUCCCCAGAAUUGUAUACUGUACCUAAGAUUCGAAUCGCCUAAAGCAUAAUAAACUGUUCAAUUGGCCUAUCCCGAUGACCUCUUCGUCUCUGGUUUCUUAGAGUGUAGCGGGCGAAACUAGUUAAGUAUAUUUAUUUACAGUACAUAUGGUGCUACUUUAUAGCACUAGUGAGAAAAUUAGCAUAUUACGUUACUCUGUAGAACUAUUAAAGGGCCAUAUGUACUGUAAAACGUUGUAUGAUACAUGUGCGAAUAGGUAAUUCGCAACUCGUGUCGAUUUAAAAUACUCCCUUCGGUCGUGUUUUAAUUUAUCGCCACUCGUUUCGAAUUUCUGAUUUUUCGCACUUGUAUAGUAAAUAACUAAUCUAUUUGAUCUAAAUAAAUAAACUUAAUUGUCCAACAUUAAACUUACUUGCUCAUUUAUUUUCCCCCAGCCCGAUGCAACACAGUCCAUAGAUCCAUAAUCCCACCUACGCGAGGCUAGGGGCAGAGGCUUCACAUAAUCGUUAUACACAAAUGGAGCAUCUGUAAACUGUAAAAAAAAAACUCAUAAGCUGAUGAUGCAAAUUUUCCGUAAGGGGAAGUCCCGUAACGCCGAACGGCAUCUAGACACACGAACUAUCUCAACAACGAACGCGAGCAAUUCAAGAAUAAGGGGCGCGGCGGAUGUAUAGUACCAAUGUCGAGAAACGGGAUGCGCUUUGCAUGUAACGCGCCCAGCGACAGCGGGAGCGUUUUUUUGAUGUUAUUGUAGGGAGCGCACUGCGUUGCAUACGAUUCGGGUGAGUGUUUUGGCUUGUUUUUUGUGUUCAGCUGGUUUUGUCUAUUUUUAAUAUACUUUACUAUUUACUGUAGUAUCGUUAUCUAUAAAAGUUAUUUAUUUUUAUUUAAAUAGUUGAGGUAUACAAUUAACAAUUGUGAUGAUUUUCUGACCCUCAGUACCGGACAAGAAAUAGUCCCGUAACGCUGGGAAUUGAAGGUUUAUUUAUUUAUGUUGUACCUACAAUGUUUCAGUUAGAAGAACGGGCAAAUAAAAAUGAAAGAGAAGAAGAAACAAGUUCGAAAAAGAAGGAAUGAAAGAAGUGAAAAUUUGAUAUAUAAAGGAAAGCAAGCUAACGAUACAAAAAGUAAAGAAAAAGGUGUAGUUAAGGGAAAACUAAAUAAACUAGUGAAGAGUAAAGUUAAAAAAGGAGGAAAAACAGUAGCAAUUGGUUGAAGCAUACAGAGCUCCAGUUGCCAUGGGCUAGCAUUGCACCGGACCCUAGAUAGAGCGGCUUGGAGAGCACUGGUGAAGAGUGUCCACAGUCAUUACGUCCCUCAGUCAUGAGGAUAUGACAAGGAAGAAGAGAAGACUAGUCGUGAUAUGAACUAAAAAUGUAAUGUUUCAAAUGUGAGCUCAAUAAAUGGAUUCUUGUUUUCGAACUAAUUCUCGCAUGUAUUGGUUACUUUCUA